CCUACGGGUGGCAGCAGUAGGGAAUUUUCGGCAAUGGGGGGAACCCUGACCGAGCAACGCCGCGUGAACGAAGAAGUUAUUCGUAAUGUAAAGUUCUUUUAACAGGGAAGAAAGAGAAAUUUGACGGUACCUGAAGAAUAAGCUCCGGCUAACUACGUGCCAGCAGCCGCGGUAAGAGGUAGGGAGCGAGCGGUAUCCGGAAGUAUUGGGCGUAAAGGAUGGGUAGAGGGAAUAGUAAGUCGUUUGGAAAAAUGCUGGGCUCAACCCAGUAGGGCAAAAGAUACUGCAAAGCUAGAGUAUGAUAGAGGCAAGUGGAACUACAAGUGUAGCGGUAAAAUGCGUAGAUAUAUGUAAGAACACCAGUGGCGAAGGCGGCUUACUGGGUCGAUACUGACAUUGAGGCAUGAAAGCGUGGGGAGCAAACAGGAUUAGAUACCCUGGUAGUC
rnacentral:rRNA from 1 species